UCUCAAGAUACAUCAGCAGUGCCAAAUACAGAAGUAAAAGCAUCUGUGCACUUAGGGUUUGGGCUAGGUGACUCAGAAUUGAUUAAUAGUCAUGGGGCUCCCAUCCCACCAUAUGGAAGUAAUCAGUGGCUAUUACAGGUUGUACAACAAGGACAAUAUCCGAAGUUCAAUGGGAUGCAGUAGUGCAUUGAGGUUGAUAUAUGAUGGGGACUGCUAGACUGUGU